rnacentral:rRNA from 1 species
AUUGAACGCUGGCGGCAGGCCUAACACAUGCAAGUCGAGCGGAUGAAGGGAGCUUGCUCCUGGAUUCAGCGGCGGACGGGUGAGUAAUGCCUAGGAAUCUGCCUGGUAGUGGGGGAUAACGUCCGGAAACGGGCGCUAAUACCGCAUACGUCCUGAGGGAGAAAGUGGGGGAUCUUCGGACCUCACGCUAUCAGAUGAGCCUAGGUCGGAUUAGCUAGUUGGUGGGGUAAAGGCCUACCAAGGCGACGAUCCGUAACUGGUCUGAUAGGAUGAUCAGUCACACUGGAACUGAGACACGGUCCAGACUCCUACGGGAGGCAGCAGUGGGGAAUAUUGGACAAUGGGCGAAAGCCUGAUCCAGCCAUGCCGCGUGUGCGAAGAAGGUCUUCGGAUUGUAAAGCACUUUAAGUUGGGAGGAAGGGCAGUAAGUUAAUACCUUGCUGUUUUGACGUUACCAACAGAAUAAGCACCGGCUAACUUCGUG